AUAUUGGUUCCUCGGGGCAACCCCUAUUCAGCCAUUCCGCGUGUGUGAAGAAGGUCUUCGGAUUGUAAAGCACUUUAAGUUGGGAGGAAGGGCUUUAGGUUAAUACCCUGAAGUUUUGACGUUACCAACAGAAGAAGCACCGGCUAACUCUGUGCCAGCAGCCGCGGUAAUACAGAGGGUGCAAGCGUUAAUCGGAAUUACUGGGCGUAAAGCGCGCGUAGGUGGUUCAGUAAGAUGGGUGUGAAAUCCCCGGGCUUAACCUGGGAACUGCUUUCAUAACUGCUGAGCUAGAGUACGGUAGAGGGUAGUGGAAUUUCCUGUGUAGCGGUGAAAUGCGUAGAUAUAGGAAGGAACACCAGUGGCGAAGGCGACUACCUGGACUGAUACUGACACUGAGGUGCGAAAGCGUGGGGAGCAAAC
rnacentral:rRNA from 1 species